GAGGGUAUAGCUCAGAGGUGGAGUGCAAGUUUAGCAUGCACAAGGUCCUGGAUUCAAACUCCAGUACCUCCA
rnacentral:tRNA from 1 species